rnacentral:rRNA from 1 species
UACGGAGGAUCCGAGCGUUAUCCGGAUUUAUUGGGUUUAAAGGGAGCGUAGGUUGACGUAUAAGUCAGCUGUGAAAGUUUACGGCUCAACCGUGAAAUUGCAGUUGAUACUGUAUGUCUUGAGUGUACAAGAGGUGGGCGGAAUUCGUGGUGUAGCGGUGAAAUGCUUAGAUAUCACGAAGAACUCCAAUUGCGAAGGCAGCUCACUGGGGUACAACUGACACUGAGGCUCGAAAGUGUGGGUAUCAAACAGGAUUAGAUACCCUGGUAGUCCACACAGUAAACGAUGAAUACUCGCUGUUUGCGAUAUACAGUAAGCGGCCAAGCGAAAGCAUUAAGUAUUCCACCUGGGGAGUACGCCGGCAACGGUGAAACUCAAAGGAAUUGACGGGGGCCCGCACAAGCGGAGGAACAUGUGGUUUAAUUCGAUGAUACGCGAGGAACCUUACCCGGGCUUGAAUUGCAGAGGAACAUAGUUGAAAAAUUAUGGCCGCAAGGUCUCUGUGAAGGUGCUGCAUGGUU